rnacentral:rRNA from 1 species
AUUGAACGCUGGCGGAAUGCUUUACACAUGCAAGUCGAACGGUAGAGGGGGCAACCCCUUGAGAGUGGCGAACGGGUGAGUAAUAUAUCGGAACGUGCCCAGUCGUGGGGAUAACGUAGCGAAAGUUACGCUAAUACCGCAUACGAUCUACGGAUGAAAGCGGGGGACUCGCAAGAGCCUCGCGCGAUUGGAGCGGCCGAUAUCAGAUUAGGUAGUUGGUGAGGUAAAGGCUCACCAAGCCGACGAUCUGUAGCUGGUCUGAGAGGACGACCAGCCACACUGGGACUGAGACACGGCCCAGACUCCUACGGGAGGCAGCAGUGGGGAAUUUUGGACAAUGGGCGCAAGCCUGAUCCAGCAAUGCCGCGUGCAGGAUGAAGGCC